AUUGAACGCUGGCGGCAGGCCUAACACAUGCAAGUCGAGCGAGCGGCGGACGGGUGAGGAAUGUCUGGGAAACCGCCUGAUGGAGGGGGAUAACUACUGGAAAAGGUAGCUAAUACCGCAUACCAUCAGAUGUGCCACGAUGGGGUUAGCUAGUGGGUGGGGUAACGGCUCACCUCGGCGACGAUCCCUAGCUGGUCUGAGAGGAUGACCAGCAAACCUGGAACGGAGACACGGUCCAGACUCCUACGGGAGGCAGCAGGGGGGAAUAUUGCACAAUGGGGGCAAGCCUGAUACAGCCAUGCCGCGUGUGGGAAGAAGGCCUUCGGGUUGUAAAGCACGUUCAGCGGGGAGGCGUUACCCGCAGAAUAAGCACCGGCUAACUCCGUGCCAGCCGCCGCGGUAAUUC
rnacentral:rRNA from 1 species